AACGAACGCUGGCGGCGCGCCUAAUACAUGCAAGUCGAGCGAGAAGACGUAGCAAUACGUUUGUAAAGCGGCGAACGGGUGAGGAAUACAUGGGUAACCUACCCUCGAGUGGGGAAGUAACUAGCCGAAGGUUAGCUAAUACCGCGUACGCUCCUCGGACUUCGGUUCAGGAGGAAAGCGAUACCGUGGGUAUCGCGCUCUUGGAUGGGCGUCAUGUCCUAUCAGCUUGUUGGUGAGGUAACGGCUCACCAAGGCUUCGACGGGUAGCUGGUCUGAGAGGACGAUCAGCCACACUGGCACUGCGACACGGGCCAGACUCCUACGGGAGGCAGCAGUAAGGAAUAUUGCGCAAUGGGCGAAAGCCUGACGCAGCGACGCCGCGUGGGGGAGUGAA
rnacentral:rRNA from 1 species